AUGACGGUACCCGCAGAAUAAGCCCCGGCUAACUUCGUGCCAGCAGCCGCGGUAAUACGAAGGGGGCCAGCGUUGUUCGGAAUCACUGGGCGUAAAGCGUACGCAGGCGGAUUGAUAAGUCAGGGGUGAAAUCCCGGGGCUCAACCUCGGAAUUGCCUUUGAUACUGUCUGUCUCGAGUUCGGGAGAGGUUGGCGGAAUUCCUAGUGUAGAGGUGAAAUUCGUAGAUAUUAGGAAGAACACCAGUGGCGAAGGCCGCCAACUGGCCCGAUACUGACGCUCAUGUACGAAAGCGUGGGGAGCAAACAGGAUUAGAUACCCUGGUAGUCCACGCUGUAAACUAUGGAUGCUAGCCGUUGGGGAGCUUGCUCUUCAGUGGCGCAGCUAACGUCUUAAGCAUCCCGCCUGGGGAGUACGGUCCCAAGAUUAAAACUCA
rnacentral:rRNA from 1 species